ensembl:snoRNA
UGGUCAUCACCAAGGCUUUUAGAAGGCAGUGUGUGGGUUGCGGUGGGCAGGACCAUAAAAUAUUUCCCUGGAGGUGUUUGUCCUUUUGCUACCUUGCAAGCAUACAACCACCUGGGUAGAUCA